rnacentral:misc_RNA from 1 species
AGAGAAAGAGCUACAGGACAUGAUGCGAGAAGCGGAUGUAGAUGGCGACGGCAAGAUAAAUUAUGAAGAAUUCGUGAAGAUAUGGUCAGAAUCGAUGUAGACACUACGUACAUAUUCAAUCUAGCAGAAUCUCCCAGAUGAAAGGAUGUGUUUGUGCCUUUUCAUGUCAUUUCGAUUUCUCUUAAUACCACUCGAUACCUCAGCCUGCCAGGGAAAAGUAUCGACCAAAAAUGCUAACGUAUUGACAAUAAUAACCCAAAGCAAACUCUGUGUUUUCUAUGUCAAUAGUAUCCAUGUAAUAUUUUUCAACAUCAUGGGAAUCGUUUGAGUUUCCACUGCAUGUUUAUCUUCCUACUUGAGACGCGAUGACCACGUGAUUCCACAAUGAAUAUAUCACGUGACUUGAGUGAGCAACUUGUCAAAUACAGCUGAACUUGAUUAGAUGUUAAAAACGCAAUAUGGAAGAUGCCAGAUUAGUUUUGUUUUGAUUUUCAGUCAUUGCAAACACAGAAAUAUUUUCCUGUUCUCAAUAAAUUAUACUGCAAACACUGAACCAUUACAUUAUACACAUUAUUUGGAAUGGAUAUGAAUCCAACACCAGCUUCCUUGAAGUUGUGUUGUGUUGCAAUGUUUAUAUAUUGUAUUAUAUUCUGUUUGUAACUUGUAGAUAUGAUAAUUCUAAUAAAACUCAUUAAAAUG